rnacentral:rRNA from 1 species
AUACGGAGGGUGCGAGCGUUAAUCGGAAUUACUGGGCGUAAAGCGUGCGUAGGCGGUUUGUUAAGUCAGAAGAGAAAGCCCUGGGCUCAACCUGGGAACGGCUUUUGAGACUGGCAGACUAGAGUUGAGUAGAGGGGAGUGGAAUUUCCGGUGUAGCGGUGAAAUGCGUAGAGAUCGGAAGGAACACCAGUGGCGAAGGCGACUCCCUGGACUCAAACUGACGCUGAGGUACGAAAGCGUGGGUAGCAAACAGGAUUAGAAACCCUAGUAGUCC